rnacentral:rRNA from 1 species
AUGAGUAUCAUCUGCUGGAACUGUCGAGGCCUGGGGUCGGACUCGACAGUUGGCGAGCUUCGCUGGCUUGUGAAGCUCUACCGACCCUCCCUCCUCUUUCUUUCUGAAACAAAGAUGAGGGAUUCGCGGGUGAGGAAUUUCAUGUGGUCAUUGGGUUUUUCGGGCUGUUAUGCUAUCAGCAGUGAGGGGCUCAGUGGCGGUCUUGCUUUGUUUUGGACACAUGCAGCAGAUGUUAUGGUUAACGCAGCCAACAAGAGAUGCAUUGAUGUUCAGGUGAAACUGGAUGAGGGUUUUCCGUGGAGAGCGACGUUUGUCUACGGCGAGCCAAGAAGAGAGGAUAGACCAAUCUUUUGGGAACUUCUACGGCGGAUGCAUCAUUCCUGGACGGGUCCAUGGUUAUGCUGUGGUGACUUCAACGAGGUGCUUACUGGUGAUGAACAAUGCGGGCCCAGAGAUAGGCUAGACUCUCAAAUGGCUGCUUUUAGGGAUUGCAUGUUGGACUGUGGAUUGACUGACUUAGGAUUCUCCGAUCCAAAAUUCACAUGGUGUAACAGACAGGACCCCAACAGUAAUGUUCGUUGUCGCUUGGAUCGAGCCAUGGCGAACAGUGACUUCUCCAACUUGUUUGAGGCUUGCAAUGUGGAGAAUAUUAUCGCCAUCACAUCUGACCACUAUCCGGUCCUUGUUCGUCUACAGGCAGAUUCUCACAUGCACCGUACGAUCCCAGUGCAGCAAGGUUUCAGGUUUGAGGCCAUGUGGCUGCGUGCGGCUGACUACCGUGAAACUCUUGAGCUGGCUUGGUCGGCGGGCAGAGAUGGCUUGUCGACUUUGAGCUCGACCUGGACGAACCUCAAAGUGGUGGCUAGCUCUCUGCGCUCCUGGAGCAAGGAGGCCUUCGGUUCUUUUCGUAAGAAUAUUGGCAAGAUGGAACGUCACCUUGCUACCAUUAGGGCGUCACCGCCCUCCCCGUCUUCGCUUGCUGAGGAGAAACAUAUUGAAGCUCAGUUAUGCAAGCUGUUUGAGCAUGAAGAGAUUAUGGAGAGGCAGCGGUCUCGAGUGGACUGGCUCAAAGCCGGUGACCGUAACACGGGGUUUUUCCAAGCCCGUGCGACGGCGAGGCGGAGAACAAAUAAAAUCCACUCUCUCCUUCAGGAUGAUGGCUCGGUCUGUUCUACUCAAAGUCAGAUAAAACAGUUGGUGCAAGCCUAUUAUGAGCAGCUCUUCACGUCCAAGCCACGCACGGCUGCUGAUGAGCUUCUGCAGGCGAUCCCGAGUAAAGUUUCCAGUGAAAUGAAUGCUGAGUUGUGCAGGCCGUAUACUAAUGAGGAAAUUAGGGCUGCCUUGUUUCAGAUGGGGCCGACCAAGGCACCAGGUCCGGAUGGUUUCCCGGCUCUCUUCUACCAAACUCACUCGGAGUUCUUGGGUGAUGACAUUUGUCAUGCGGUUCGUGGCUUUCUGGAGGGAAGACCAAUCCCUGAAGGUUUCUGCGAUUCGGUUAUUGUCUUGAUUCCAAAGACUUCCAAACCAAAACUGUUGAAGAACUUCCGUCCUAUCAGUCUGUGCAAUGUUCUUUACAAGAUUGCUUCCAAAGUUCUUGCCAAUCGCCUGAAAUCUAUUCUGCAUGUGGUGGUCUCGGAGAGUCAGAGUGCCUUUGUUCCUGGCAGGUUGAUCACGGAUAACACCCUUAUUGCUUAUGAGUGCCUUCACACCAUCCGGAAUCAACGUCUGAAGAAACCCUUCUUUGCCCUAAAGAUCGAUAUGAUGAAGGCCUAUGAUCAUGUGGAGUGGAGCUAUCUGCACCAGUGUCUAACCAAAUUGGACUUUGCAUCUUCAUGGAUUGAGACUGUGAUGCGAUGUGUGACUAAUGUCUGGUAUGCUGUGCGUGUUAAUGGGGAGUUAACUGAACCGGUGAUUCCUUCUUGUGGGAUACGGCAAGGGGACCCAAUAAGCCCAUAUCUUUUCCUCUUAUGCUCGGAAGGCUUGUCUAGUCUGCUAUUUCAAAAGGAGGCUCGUGGCGAGCUACAUGGGAUUCGUAACGGCCAUCAUGGCCCAUCUAUCUCACACCUCCUGUUCGCGGACGAUAGUAUCUUCUUUGCGAAGAGUGAUUUUCAGAGUGUGGCCUCUUUGGAGUCUACACUAAGCUCCUACUGCUCGGGUUCAGGCCAGGCUAUUAAUGAAGACAAGUCUGCUCUCUUCUUUGGCCGUCAUUGCUCCACGAGUGUCAAGGACAGGGUUAAGGCUCAGUUGGGAAUUAGUAACGAAUCCUUUAAGGAUUCAUAUUUGGGUAUGCCGACGGAGGUUGGUAACUCUCCCACGAGCACUUUCAAGUUUCUGGUUGAUAAGGCGUGGCAGAACAUAUUUGGUUGGUCGGAUCGGCCUAUGUCUCGAGCCGGUACUGAAACUUUGCUGAAAUCAAAGACACAGGCUAUCCCAACCUUCAUCUCUAGCUGCUUCCGUCUGCCCGUGGCUAUCUAUGAGAAGUUCAGGCAAAUUGUAUCCGAUCAAUGGUGGGGCCGUGAGGAUGGCAAAAAGAAAAUGCAUUGGCGGUCCUGGGAGUGGCUCUCUACUCCGAAGUCCCUCGGGGGCAUGGGCUUCAAGGAUUUGGCGCUCUUCAACCAAGCUAUGUUGGGCAAACAAGGAUGGAGGCUUCUAACUGACCCCGAUUCUUUGUGUGCUCGAGUUCUAAAGGGAAGGUAUUUUCCUUUUGCUGAUUUUUGGAAUGCUUCUCCUCCCUGUUCUGCCUCGGCUACUUGGCGUGCUAUUUUGCAUGGGAGGGACCUGCUAAAGAAAGGUGUGCAAUGGGGCAUAGGAGAUGGCAGGAGUACUCUCAUUCUAAAGGAUCACUGGAUCCCUUCCACUCCACCGGCUUUGCUUCAAACUCUUUCUCCCAUCCCAAGCACGGCUACAGUUCAUUGCUUACUUGAUGAAGAGCAUGGAGGCUGGCACGAGGAAUAUGUACGUGCUUUUUCCCUCAAGAGGUGGCUGAUGAGAUCCUCAAGAUUAAUGUGA